rnacentral:lncRNA from 1 species
AAAUCCAACUGCGCCACGGGGCGGAGCGGCCCCCCCAGCCCCGGCCUGGGAGAGGGGGGGCCCGCUCGACCCUCGGGAGACCUUGGGGACCCUAAUCACCUGGGACCCCCCCAGAACCAGGUUCCCCCCAGGCACCAUGCCAGCCCCAUAACACUACCCACUCCACUGUGGUCUGCUGCACCCCACUGCUGGGGCACUGUUCUAAUGAGACAGGGCACACCAAACUCCAUCUGCCGGGCUGUUACUGAGGCGGAGACACGGGUGAUGAUUGGCUUUCCGGGGAGAGAGGAAGUCCUGUGAUUGGCCAGAUCUCUGAAGCUCGCCCGACGCGUAAGAGGACGCUCCCACCGAGGCCGGGUAAGCACCAGCAACGUUGCGGGUUUGUGGGUCAGCAGGCAUGUCCCUGGAGCUGAAACCUAGCAGGUAGUGCAACUACACAGUCGCCCCACAGUUGACUCCCUGUCACUCCGAACUUAUAGUGACACUACUUUUCAGGACUUCAGGGACCCUUAGGCCCUGUAGAUCUCCCUCAGACUUCCUGCACAAAAAAGCAGACCUGGGGGUGCUACAGGCAUUCCAACUCAACCCCUGGGCCCUGUGUGCUGGCCAGCUCACUGC